CGAGUGGCGAACGGGUGAGUAAUACAUCGGAACGUGCCCUGUAGUGGGGGAUAACUAGUCGAAAGAUUAGCUAAUACCGCAUACGACCUGAGGGUGAAAGUGGGGGACCGCAAGGCCUCAUGCUAUAGGAGCGGCCGAUGUCUGAUUAGCUAGUUGGUGGGGUAAAGGCCCACCAAGGCGACGAUCAGUAGCUGGUCUGAGAGGACGAUCAGCCACACUGGGACUGAGACACGGCCCAGACUCCUACGGGAGGCAGCAGUGGGGAAUUUUGGACAAUGGGGGCAACCCUGAUCCAGCAAUGCCGCGUGUGUGAAGAAGGCCUUCGGGUUGUAAAGCACUUUUGUCCGGAAAGAAAUCGCACUUACUAAUAUUAGGUGUGGAUGACGGUACCGGAAGAAUAAGGACCGGCUAACUACGUGCCAGCAGCCGCGGUAAUACGUAGGGUCCAAGCGUUAAUCGGAAUUACUGGGCGUAAAGCGUGCGCAGGCGGUUGUGCAAGACCGAUGUGAAAUCCCCGGGCUUAACCUGGGAAUUGCAUUGGUGACUGCACGGCUAGAGUGUGUCAGAGGGGGGUAGAAUUCCACGUGUAGCAGUGAAAUGCGUAGAGAUGUGGAGGAAUACCGAUGGCGAACGCAGCCCCCUGGGAUAACACUGACGCUCAUGCACGAAAGCGUGGGGAGCAAACAGGAUUAGAUACCCUGGUAGUCCACGCCCUAAACGAUGUCAACUAG
rnacentral:rRNA from 1 species